rnacentral:sRNA from 1 species
CCAGAGAGAGUAAAUGUCAAUAUCUAUCUGCCCUCUGGACUAUUUUCUAGGGACAGUGUCUUCCUACUAGGUCACACAAAGGCCAGCCACUUCCUUUCAAUCCCGGGUGUGCCUUCUCUGGUUUUCUCCGUUGGAGGGCUUUUCUCUCUGGCCUAACUUCUAGUGACUACAGAAACCUGUAAAAUUCCAGUGCAGCCAACGCUUCUCUCUCUCCUUCCCUCGGAGCUGUCACAGAGGAUAAUCAGGACAGCAAAGUGUUCUGGCAGCCAAGCAAAGACUGUUUUUAAGGAUAGAGAGAACAACUCUGGAAAAGGCUGCCAACAUCUGAAGGAAGGAUGACGUUUGCUGCUGUUUACUCUUUUUAUCCUGUGGGUGUAGCGGAGAGUUCUAGAAGCUGCAUAGAAGAGAGCACGAUGAUUGGUGCAGAAGCAAAUGCAGAAAUCCAUCUACUUCCCAGGCAGGAAGAAAUCAGAGAUGCCAGGGGCUGUAAAACAGGCCAUUGUCUUUCUGUAUUUUCUCUGUUUUUGUGAAAGGUCAGGAAGAUUAUGGAAAUGAAGACAUCAUUGAAGGGAAAUAAUGAUUACAACAAUAUCAAAAUGUACUGGAAAACAAGAAAAAAUAGUAUGGUUUGAUAAUAAAGAUCGAGAAAUAAAAAUAUCUCCUGGGAAAUAUAGCCUUGCAUACCUGAAAGUGGUGUUUAAGUAUAGACACCUUCACCAAUAUGCAGCGACACUAAUAAAUGUUCAAUACGCGUUGCAAAAAAAA